AUACGGAGGAUCCGAGCGUUAUCCGGAUUUAUUGGGUUUAAAGGGAGCGUAGGCGGACGCUUAAGUCAGUUGUGAAAGUUUGCGGCUCAACCGUAAAAUUGCAGUUGAUACUGGGUGUCUUGAGUACAGUAGAGGCAGGCGGAAUUCGUGGUGUAGCGGUGAAAUGCUUAGAUAUCACGAAGAACUCCGAUUGCGAAGGCAGCUUGCUGGACUGUAACUGACGCUGAUGCUCGAAAGUGUGGGUAUCAAACAGGAUUAGAUACCCUGGUAGUCCACACAGUAAACGAUGAAUACUCGCUGUUUGCGAUAUACAGUAAGCGGCCAAGCGAAAGCGUUAAGUAUUCCACCUGGGGAGUACGCCGGCAACGGUGAAACUCAAAGGAAUUGACGGGGGCCCGCACAAGCGGAGGAACAUGUGGUUUAAUUCGAUGAUACGCGAGGAACCUUACCCGGGCUUGAAUUGCAACUGAAUGAUGUGGAGACAUAUCAGCCGCAAGGCAGUUGUGAAGGUGCUGCAUGGUUGUCGUCAGCUCGUGCCGUGAGGUGUCGGCUUAAGUGCCAUAACGAGCGCAACCCUUAUCGAUAGUUACCAUCAGGUUAUGCUGGGGACUCUGUCGAGACUGCCGUCGUAAGAUGUGAGGAAGGUGGGGAUGACGUCAAAUCAGCACAGCCCUUACGUCCGGGGCUACACACGUGUUACAAUGGGGGUACAGAAGGCAGCUACCUGGCGACAGGAUGCUAAUCCCAAAAGCCUCUCUCAGUUCGGAUCGAAGUCUGCAACCCGACUUCGUGAAGCUGGAUUCGCUAGUAAUCGCGCAUCAGCCACGGCGCGGUGAAUACGUUCCCGGGCCUUGUACACACCGCCCGUCAAGCCAUGGGAGCCGGGGGUACCUGAAGUGCGUAACCGCGAGGAGCGCCCUAGGGUAAAACUGGUGACUGGGGCU
rnacentral:rRNA from 1 species